rnacentral:rRNA from 1 species
AGAGUUUGAUUCUGGCUCAGAGCGAACGGUGGCGGCGUGGAUAAGACAUGCAAGUCGAACGGGACUUUCAGUGUAGCAAUACAUUGAAAGUUCAGUGGCGCAAGGGUGCGUAACACGUGGGAAAUCUGCCGAGAAGUGGGGGAUAGCUCGCCGAAAGGCGAAUUAAUACCGCAUGUGGUCAGUGAGGACAUCCUCGCGAAACCAAAGCCGGGGCAACCUGGCGCUUCUUGAUGAUCCCGCGGCCUAUCAGCUAGUCGGCGGGGUAAAAGCCCACCAAGGCUAUGACGGGUAGCUGGUCUGAGAGGACGACCAGCCACACUGGAACUGAGACACGGUCCAGACACCUACGGGGGCAGCAGUCGAGAAUUUUUCUCAAUGGGGGAAACCCUGAAGGAGCGACGCCGCGUGGAGGAUGAAGGUCUUCGGAUUGUAAACUCCUGUCAUUAGGGAACAAAUCUUCCAAGUAACUACUGGAAGUCUGAUAGUACCUGAAGAGGAAGAGACGGCUAACUCUGUGCCAGCAGCCGCGGUAAUACAGAGGUCUCAACCGUUGUUCGGAUUCAUUGGGCGUAAAGGGUGCGUAGGCGGCGGAGUAAGUCAGGUGUGAAAUCUCGGGGCUCAACCCCGAAACUGCACUUGAUACUGCUUUGCUUGAGUAUUGGAGAGGAGAUUGGAAUUUACGGUGUAGCAGUGAAAUGCGUAGAUAUCGUAAGGAAGACCAGUGGCGAAGGCGAAUCUCUGGACAAUUACUGACGCUGAGGCACGAAGGCCAGGGGAGCAAACGGGAUUAGAUACCCCGGUAGUCCUGGCAGUAAACGGUGUACGUUUGGUGUGGGAGGAUUCGACCCCUUCCGUGCCGGAGCUAACGCGUUAAACGUACCGCCUGGGAAGUACGGUCGCAAGAUUAAAACUCAAAGAAAUUGACGGGGGCCCGCACAAGCGGUGGAGUAUGUGGCUUAAUUCGAUGCAACGCGAAGAACCUUACCAGGGUUUGACAUGUAUUGUGUCGGCGAUGAAAGUCGCCUAGCUAUAGCAAUAUAGCGCUUUACACAGGUGCUGCAUGGCUGUCGUCAGCUCGUGUCGUGAGAUGUUGGGUUAAGUCCCGCAACGAGCGCAACCCCUGUGUCCUGUUGCCACCCCUUAACUGGGAGCACUCUGGACAGACUGCCCUGUGAAACGGGGAGGAAGGUGGGGAUGACGUCAAGUCAGCAUGGCCC